rnacentral:rRNA from 1 species
UGGGGAAUCUUGCGCAAUGCGCGAAAGCGUGACGCAGCAACGCCGCGUGGGGGAAGAAGGUUUUCGGAUUGUAAACCCCUUUCAGGAAGGACGAAGGUUCGGCAGUUAAUAGCUGACCGGACUGACGGUACUUCCACAAGAAGGUCCGGCUAACUACGUGCCAGCAGCCGCGGUAAUACGUAGGGACCUAGCGUUGUCCGGAAUCAUUGGGCGUAAAGCGCGCGUAGGCGGCCCGGUAAGUCCGUUGUAAAAGUCGAAGGCUCAACCUUCGAAAGCCGAUGGAUACUGCCGGGCUAGAGUCCGGAAGAGGCGAGUAGAAUUCCUGGUGUAGCGGUGGAAUGCGCAGAUAUCAGGAGGAAUACCCAUAGCGAAGGCAGCUCGCUGGGACGGUACUGACGCUGAGGCGCGAAAGCGUGGGGAGCGAACAGG